ACACACACACACACACACACGAGCCCCGGAGCUGAAACUAAAUUAAGAAAGCACAUGAUUAAGAGACAAGCGUCUACGGGGCCUGUCAUUUCAGCAUCCUUCCAUCAUAACAUUGUGGCACAGGGAAAAUUUGCUUGAAAACCCUUGCAAGAAAAAAAAAUAAAAGAGAGAGGCACAGAGAGAAUGAGAGAAAGAAUGAGAGAGAGUGCUUGGAGCCUGGCUCCGGAUUGCCUUCGGAAGAGGAGGGAGAGGAGAGGUUGGCAAGAUCCCAGAGGUCUCCAGGGACUUCUUGGGAAACGCGUAUUUACGGAUCUCUCGGCCACCAACGAGCAGUCCAGUUCAUCAUAUGGAUACUUUCUCAAAUGGCAGUUGUUGUGGAGGGAAGCCGCCAAAGAAGACCAGGAUCCGUAAAUGGAGGAAAGACCACAACUUUAUUAAACAAACAGCAACAAAGAAAAAAAGAAGAGGAGUAAAAUGUCACCAGGCCCACAGAACAGUUUUUCCCUCUUUCCCCAGUUACAUGUGAUCCUGGAGGCAUACAUGAUGCAGCAAUUCCCAUUGCUAAUAUUUGUGCAAAAGAGGAAUUCUGCUUCAUCCCCCACAUUUCCUCCAAAGACAUACCAUUUAACUUGCUGGAUGGGAGUACAGGAGAGAUAACUAUAAGCUACUGUUGGAUGACUCUCUUCCUGUCAACCAUAUUAAUUUUUUUCUUAAUACUGCAAAAAGAAGAUGGCCAAAUGAAUAGAAUUUAUUUGUUAUGGUCUCUUAUUUCAGGGCCCAUUUAAAUUGGGGGGGGGGGGGAGGAGAAAUUAUAUUUUGCUUGGUAAUCUCAACAAAGCUGGCAUUUCUACAUGACUUGUGGGGAAAUAUGCACCUCAUUAGAAAAAGGCUUAUAGAACACACCUGAGAGAUAAAAUGUGAACAGUGGCGGGUUA